rfam:Dipodomys ordii contig_28737, whole genome shotgun sequence.
GGGAAUGUGGCUUAGUGGUAAAGUGCUUGCCUAGCAUGCAUGUAUCCCUGGGUUCGAUUCCUCAGUACCA